rnacentral:rRNA from 1 species
AGAGUGCGGUAGGGAAGACUGGAAUGCCUGGUGUAGCGGUGGAAUGCGCAGAUAUCAGAGGAACACCGAUGGCGAAGGCAGGUCUCUAGGCCGCAACUGACGCUGAGGAGCGAAAGCAUGGGGAGCGAACAGGAUUAGAUACCCUGGUAGUCCAUGUCGUAAACGUUGGGCACUAGGUGUGGGGCUCAUUCCACGAGUUCCGUGCCGCAGCAAACGCAUUAAGUGCCCCGCCUGGGGAGUACGGCCGCAAGGCUAAAACUCAAAGGAAUUGACGGGGGCCCGCACAAGCGGCGGAGCAUGCGGAUUAAUUCGAUGCAACGCGAAGAACCUUACCAAGGCUUGACAUGCACGGGAAGCCACCAGAGAUGGUGGUCUCUUUGGGCACUCGUGCACAGGUGGUGCAUGGUUGUCGUCAACUCGUGUCGUGAGAUGUUGGGUUAAGUCCCGCAACGAGCGCAACCCUCGUCCCAUGUUGCCAGCGGGUUAUGCCGGGGACUCAUGGGAGACUGCCGGGGUCAACUCGGAGGAAGGUGGGGAUGACGUCAAAUCAUCAUGCCCCUUAUGUCUUGGGCUUCACGCAUGCUACAAUGGCCGGUACAAAGGGCUGCGAUACCGUAAGGUGGAGCGAAUCCCAAAAAGCCGGUCUCAGUUCGGAUUGGGGUCUGCAACUCGACCCCACGAAGUCGGAGUCGCUAGUAAUCGCAGAUCAGCAACGCUGCGGUGAAUAUGUUCCCGGGCCUUGUACACACCGCCCGUCAAGUCACGAAAGUCGGUAACAUCCGAAGCCCAUGGCCCAACCGUCCGCGGGGGGAGUGGUCGAAGGUGGGACUGGCGACUGGGGUGAAGUCGUAACAAGGUAG